rnacentral:rRNA from 1 species
AUUGAACGCUGGCGGCGUGCCUAAUACAUGCAAGUCGUGCGAGAAAGCCCGCUUCGGUGGGCAAGUAAAGCGGCGACCUGGUGAGUAACACGUGGGUAAUCUACCUUUGAGUUGGGGAUAAGCCUCCGAAAGGGGUCUAAUACCGAAUAACCUCGCUGGAUGGCAUCAUUCGGCGAGCAAAGGCGGCGUAAGCUGUCGCUUAAAGAUGGGCCCGCGCUCCAUUAGCCAGUUGGCAGGGUAAAAGCCUACCAAAGCUACGAUGGAUAGCCGGCCUGAGAGGGUGUCCGGCCACACUGGGACUGAGAUACGGCCCAGACUCCUACGGGAGGCUG